rnacentral:rRNA from 1 species
AUGGAGAAAGGUGAAUCUCCCAAGAAACUACUUGAGCGUCUCAUGACUCUCAUCGCCAACAUUGAGUCCUGUGAAUGUGACAAGACUCAAGAUGGAUUCAACUUGACUAAGCAAUUUCUUGUGGAUAAGUUGUUUCAUGCUCUUGCUCCAUAUCAUCACCAAAUGGUGUGGGACAUAAGACAACACCAUGGAUUCAAGGAAAUGACUCCAGAUGACAUCAUAUCCACUUUCCAACUAUUUGAAGAGUCAAAGGCAAAUGCCACAAAAUAUCUUGCCAUGCAUGGUACCUCAACAUCAAAGAUCAAUCUUGCAUUGAAGGCCAAGCGUGUAUGUGAAGAAGAGCAAAGUGAAGAAGAUGAGGAGGAGGAGGAGGAGGAGGAUGGUGAUGAGAUUGACUCAGACGAGAUCCCGUCAUAUGAAUACAUUGCUCUCUUUGUCAAGAAGUUUAGCGCGGGAAAAUUCAAGGGAAGAUUCCAGAAGAAGAAAGUGAGAAAAUGCUACAACUGUGAAGAAACCAACCACUUCUCCAACGAGUGCCCUUAUGAGAAGAGAGAAGACAAACCAAGGUUUCCCAAGACCUUUCCCAAGAAGAAGUUGCCAAAUCCUUUGAACUCCAAGCUCAAUAAGAGAGAUGGGAAAGCAAUGGUUGCUCAUUAA